UACAGAGGGUGCGAGCGUUAAUCGGAAUUACUGGGCGUAAAGCGCGCGUAGGCGGCUUUGCAAGUCGGGUGUGAAAUCCCCAGGCUUAACCUGGGAACUGCAUUCGAGACUGCAUCGCUAGAGUAUCGGAGAGGGAAGUGGAACUUCAGGUGUAGCGGUGAAAUGCGUAGAUAUCUGAAGGAACAUCAGUGGCGAAAGCGACUUCCUGGACGAAUACUGACGCUCAUGUGCGAAAGCGUGGGGAGCAAACAGG
rnacentral:rRNA from 1 species